UACGUAGGGGGCAAGCGUUGUCCGGAGUUACUGGGAGUAAAGCGCACGCAGGCGGUCGCGUAAGAGUGCGGGGACAGUGGGCGGCUUAACUGCCCAAGGGUCGCACAGACUGCGUGACUGGAGGGCCAGAGAGGGACCUGGAAUUCCGGGUGGAGCGGUGAAAUGCGUAGAGAUCCGGAGGAACACCGGUGGCGAAGGCGGGUCUCUGGGCAGUAACUGACGCUGAGGAGCGAAAGCGUGGGGAGCGAACAGG
rnacentral:rRNA from 1 species